rnacentral:tRNA from 1 species
CAGAAAAUAGUAUAUUUAAUAUUUAAAUUUUGGGGAUUUAAGCUGAAAAAUCUUUUCUGA